rnacentral:lncRNA from 1 species
AUGUCCGCGGGGGUUCAGACCCAGAGCCCUGGGGGUGCAGUCCUGGAGCCCUUGGGGAGUUCAGCCCCGGAGCCCCAGCGUUUCCUGUCCUGUAUCCCCAUGAUUCAGCCCUAUAGCCCCAUGGCCCACAGCCCCAUAUCCGGAGGGUCCAGCCCUGUGUCCCGCGGGCACAGUCCUGGAGUCCCGAGGUGUUCAGCCCCAUGUCCUGGAGCCCCUGGGGGUGCAGUCCUGCAGUCCGUGUCCCCGAGGGGUCAGUCCCAUGUCCUGCAGUCCGUGACCCCGAGGGGUCAGUCCCACAGCCCCGGCGUGGCAAUCCCGUGUCCCGGGGGCCUCAGUCCCACAGCCCCGGGGGGCUCAGCCCCCUGUCCUGGGGGAUUCAGCCCCCCAGUCCUGCAGCCCCCUGUCCCGGGGGGUCCAGCCCGCUGUCCCGGAGGUUCAGCCCCGUGUCCCGGCGCGGCCCCGCAGCCGGGGGCGGCCCGUCCCCCCUUGUCCCCCCGCGCCAGCCCUCACCCCCCGACCUCCUCCGUGUCCUCCUCCUCCCUCCUGUCCCCCCUUCUCCCCUGUGUCACCCCCGGAGCCGCCCGCGCCGCCUCCGUCGCUCGCUGCGGCCUCUCCCGGCUCGGCCCGGCCCCGGCUCGGCCCCGCUCCGCCCCGGCCCGGCCCCGCUCCGCCCCUGCGGCCUGCCCGGUACGGCGGGGCCGGGGGGACACCGGGGUCCUGCAGGGGGCGGCGGGGCCGGGGCGGAGGGAGCGGAGCGAGGCCGGGGCCCAGCGGGGCCCAGCGGGGCCCGGGCCCGGAGCUGCGGCCCGCGGGGACGGGAGGGGCCGGGGCUGGGCGGCCACAGGGGCCCGGGGGGCUGAACGGGGGUCCCGGGGGGCUGAUGAGGUUGGAGGGUCUGAAUUGGGGGACCCGGUUACAUUCUCCCGGGGGGUGGGUUUGGGGGAGGUCCUGACUUGGGGGUUUGAAUUUGGGGUCUGGGGGCUUUAUUUGGGAGUCCCAGGAGUCCUGGCCAGGGGGUGCAGGGGGGUUUGGGGUACCCUGGCCGCGUUCUCCAAGGCGUGGUUUUGGGGAGCCUGGGGGUCCCGGGGGUCCUGA